GCUGGGCAUGGUGGCACAGGCCUGUAGUCCCAGCUAUUCAGGAAGCUGAGGCAGGAGGAUUGCUUAAGCUCAGGAGUUCAAGGCCAGCCUGGGCAGCAUAGCUAAUCAC
rnacentral:sRNA from 1 species